ensembl:lncRNA
CUGGCUUUGAUGCUUGCUGAUCUAUGGCUCUCUGAAGCACCGCAUUGAUUCCUGCAGCCUCUUGCAGAGCCACCUCCUCUCCCAUGCAGGGAAGCCCGAGUGUUCCAUGCACAGGCCGAUCCCACGACCCCUGAGGAUGUCGGCACCGAUGGGAACGCAUCGCAGCCCUCCCCAGCAGCAGUCCCCACAGGGGCGCUCCCUGUGCACCUCAGAGGAGCCAAUGCUGUAAAUCCCAUCCUGGUGGUCUGUUGUCACACCUUGCCCCUGGGAUGAGGGUCUGUGAGAGGAUGCUGGAGCCCUGAUCCUGACACAGCGGUAACUGCACUGCAGGACAUGCUGAGCCCCGGAAAUUUGGGCUGGAAGGGCUCUUUGGGACUCUGCUCAGAGGCACUUGCAAGAUUCACAGACUGAUUGGAGGACAGCCCACCUCUGACCAUCUCUGUGUUUAUAAAUCCUGUUUGGACUAACGUGAUAUUCAGGGGAACGCAGGUCUUGACCACACACACUGUCAAUACAGGACCUUGGACUUGAACUUUGUGCCUCGGACUUCAGCUUUGUGAGCCCUCAGACAGCCCUUCUGCAGCUGCAUCAGGCCACACACAGUCACAGCUCUCAGCUGGGAGACGACAGGCACAAAGCUGGCACUGGCUCUGUGAUUACUUCUCUGCAAAGUCAAACAGGGCCAAAAAUAAAUGCUAGUGAAGGAAUAAACAGACGUGAAAAGAAGGCUUGGACACUUGGAGGACAAGACUGCUUUGUGUUCCCCAAAGCAAUAAGCCUCUUCACAAGGAGGUUACUCUUUCAGAAAAACACGGGUCCUGUGACACUGCCAAGGUCAGUAGGUGCCCAGCAGAGCAGGGAGCAUUCAAGGCAGACGUGGUUUGGGAAAGGGGCAUAUUUGCUCCCAUUGAAAGAGAGGAGAGAGGAGAGAAAUUUACAUUGCUCUGCCAUGUCAGCUCUUUCUACAGGGUUUGAACACGCACCAGUUUGGCAGCAGAAGGCAGCUUCCACCUAUCUCAGAUGGCAACGUAGCCCCAGCACUGUGGCUGUAUCACUCGCAUGCUGGCUUGGGAAGAGGGCAGUGCUGCUGCAGUUCUGCAGCUGAGGAGGCAGGUAAAGAGAGGACGUGCAUCACAUGCAGAGUCCCGGCAGUAAGGCCUGGAUUUCUCAAGGUGCUUUGCAUUUUUCAGAAGUCCCUUGUGGACGUGGCUCUCUUCUUGUGCUGGUGCUGUACGAGCACUCUAAGCUAGGCCUCUGCUACCUGUCGGCGUGUCUCGGACCGGUCAGCUGCAGUCUGGAUGGGCUUUGCUUUCUGCAGGAAAUAGGCAGAAUUCAAAGCAAAUAGCUUGGUACAGACACCUUGCUUUCUGGUAAGCAAAAUUGGUUAGCAAAGUGCUGCAGUGAUCUCAGUGGGGGUAGGAAGCUUUGGAGUUCACUUUAGGGACUUAACUCAUUCUCCAUCCAGUGCAGUAUCUUUUGAAAUGUGACUUUUUAGGCUCUUUAUUGUCUCAGUUGGCUACAGAAUGAAAAUGCUGGGUAACAUUGAGCAAUGAUAAGAUGAUACAGAGUCUGUCUCCUGCACAAAGGGAAGUGCAGUUCUUUCGCUGUCUCUAAAGCACCAAGUUGUGAGUCAGCCAAAGCAUCUGAGGACUCUGGGUAAGAAACAUGAGCUUUUAAAGGCACCUCAUUAGGACUGAAUCUUCAGCACCGUCUGUAGUGACACACCAAAACAUACUCAUCUCAAAGAGGGCAAAUGUUGAGAAGUUAAGGGAGCUAAUUAGUGGAAUCAGCUGCACUGCAGAUCUGAGGAAUUGAAUGUGAUGGAACUUGGAUUCCAAAACCAGCUGAAACAUGCAGGAAGAUGAACCCUGACAGGAAAUGCUCCAACCCCAGUGGGAUAAAUAACCAGCCCCAAACACGUGGAGAGCAUUAACUGACAUGCAGAAGUUCUGAUUGGCAUGAGGGUAUUCUGCUGGCAUGCAGCUAAGGAUUGAAAUCAGAUGUCUGGAGAGGAACUGCUACAGAAUACGAUGCUCUGCUCUGCUCUGCUCUUUGAUGGAGGCCAUCACUCUUAUCACAGGGCUGACAAAGCAGCUUACCCUGCAGGUUCUGAACAGCCACCACUCCAGUGACGUGUUCAGUGCAGCAGUUCUGGACCUGCCUUAUGAGUUACUGCCACUGCCACAAGGAUGGCAUUGGAGAAGAGUGGUGGAGCAGAAGACUGAAGGCAGUAUUUGCCUCAGUCAUCCAAUUUGAAGCUGCUGGGAUGGGAAAGGCAGAGACAGGAUGAAAAAUGUCAAAAGUGAACUUGUGAAUUGGACUUGAAAAGGAAAUUAGAACAGAUGGCAGAGGGUUUCAGCUAGAGAAAUAAAAAGAGGAGAAACGUGGUCAUUAUGGAGUGAGAAUGGGGUUGAGAUUAAGACCCAUCCACAUAUGGUCUAAAAAUGAAUUAAAAACACUUUGUCCACAUUUUCAGUAGAGAUGAUCGUAUUGAGCAGUGGGACAAAGACAAGAUUUCUAGUGGGAAUAUACAUAAGGGAAUGAAAAUUAUCACAUGUAAGGUGGAAGGAAAAGCAUGAAGAAUUCGGUGUGCUCAGGUGAAGGUGCACUGGCAGAUUUCCAUCCCAGGAUUUGGCACAUUAAAUGAGUUCAGCUUAACCUGAUAUUUCUCUUUGAUGACUGAUUAUUUUUUUAGGCAAAUGAAAUACAGGUGAUUUACUCUAUCCAGAAUCUGAUAUUAUACCACAGGGGAAAUUACUCGUUGAAGUUGAGAUGAUGGGGAUUAGUGUGGAUGGUGAAUGCAAACCUGUUAAAGUGCAGAGGAAAGGGGAGCUCUGAGCAGAGAAGAAAUGCCAGACAGAGGCAGUCAGUAAGUGGAACUCCUCAGGAGUCAGUGUUGAGCUCACUCUUGCUUCUUUCAUUAACGAGUCUGGCACAGCAGUAGGAAUGUAGUAAAGAAAUCUGCUGAGGACACGGGCUUUGUUAAUACAGAGGAUGAUCGGAACAUCAAUCAGCAAUGAGUGAAUGACAGAAUUCAUCUGAAAUAGAAUAGAGAAAGUAUUAAGACAUGCAUUUAGAAAUUAAUAACUAGAAUAUCAUAUUACUCACUUGAAGAUGACAAAGGCAGGGGGGUGGAAAAAAAACCACAGAGAAUAAUUCGCUCCCAGGGAUGACUGUGAGCCACCAAUCUGAUAUGGAGAGGCAAACACAAUCCUAGAAGGUACAGGUUCACUCAUGUUCGAGGAAGAUUAGCAGGUACAGAGAAGGGCAUUGAGGAUGAUCAGAGGGUUUGGAACAAGAGGAGACUAGAAGAGUUUCAUUUGUUUAGUUUUUCAAAACAAAGGCUAGAGGAGAUAGGAUUGUUUUCAGUAAAUAUAUCUGAUAGGUAAAGAUCAGAGAAAAAAGAGAAUUGUUUAAACUACAUUAUGAUGCUGGCACAAGAACAAAUGAUAUUAAGGCUGAAAAUUUUAAAUGAAGUGCUGGGACAACCUGCCAAAAAGCACGAUAUGAUGUAAUUGAAUGUAACAGUAGGAGGCUGGAUCAGUAAUCCAGAGCCCUGUGUUCCUAGAUAACUUCUUUUUUGGGAAGGGAAUUAGCCACAGCAGCUAAAUGCAGGGAAUGGAAAGAACAGCCCGGACCAACACCACAAAGGUGUUCCCAGUGAUGGAGCAGUGCGGUGUGUGGUGCCUAUAUGGAGUGGUUUCUUUCUUAAUAAGAAGACCAGGCCGCAGUGUGUGCUGCUGUACAGCUAAGUGCCAGCUGUACCAGAAAAGCAGUGUCACUAAAACAUUUCGCUGUGGGUUUGAGCUCUUGCUUUUUACCCACAGUGUGACCGUCUUUCACCUCCCAAACCUAAAUAUACAUGGCUGAAAGCACACCUUCAGGAAUGGCUGUCCCAGCACUGCCAGUGGCUCGCAGGCUGUGCAGAGGCUGGAAGCAGGCAGUGUGCUCGGCUCCCCGCUCUGUCCCCUGGAGCUUUCCUUUUCUGAUGCCCUGUUAGGCAGAAUGCCCACUCACGGGGAAUACUGCUGUACCUCUUUGAAGAGAAGCAGUAAAAAGGCUUUUGGCAAAGCAGCCUCUAACCGGCACCUCUUAAAUGAAGCUGGCUGACAUACACG